GCCAACUCUGUCACUAACUUCGUAAGGGAUUCAAUCUUGUUGUCCAACUUGCUUUCAAUAGCAGAUAAAGACUGGGCAACAACAUCAUGUACGCCCCUCACCACAAUGGCAUCAUUCCUGGUGCUAAACUGCUGGGAGUUGGAAGCCAUCUUCUCAAUCAAAUGCCUGGCCUCAGCAGGUGUGGUGUCUCCAAUAGCUCCACCACUGGCAGCAUCAAGCAUACCCCUAUCCAUGUUGUUCAAACCCUCAUAGAAAUACUGGAUAAGGAGUUGUUCAGGUAUCUGAUGGUGGGGGCAGCUUGCACAGAGUGUCUUGAAUCUCUCCCAAUACUCAUAUAAGCUCUCGCCAC
rnacentral:lncRNA from 1 species